rnacentral:rRNA from 1 species
GACGAACCGUACAAACGUUAUUCGGAAUCACUGGGCUUAAAGGGUGCGUAGGCGGCUUUGCAAGUCGGGUGUGAAAGCCCUCGGCUCAACCGAGGAAUAGCGCCCGAAACUGCCGAGCUUGAGGGACACAGAGGUAAGCGGAACUUAGGGUGGAGCGGUGAAAUGCGUUGAUAUCCUAAGGAACACCAGAAGCGAAGGCGGCUUACUGGGUGUCUUCUGACGCUGAGGCACGAAAGCCAGGGGAGCGAACGGG